UACGAAGGGUGCAAGCGUUAAUCGGAAUUACUGGGCGUAAAGCGUGCGCAGGCGGUUUGUUAAGCCAGAUGUGAAAGCCCCGGGCUCAACCUGGGAACUGCGUUUGGUACUGGCAAGCUAGAGUACGGCAGAGGGGGGUGGAAUUCCACGUGUAGCAGUGAAAUGCGUAGAGAUGUGGAGGAACACCGAUGGCGAAGGCAGCCCCCUGGGCCGAUACUGACGCUCAGGCACGAAAGCGUGGGGAGCAAACAGG
rnacentral:rRNA from 1 species